CACCGGCAGCUCAAGUGGUGGUCACGUUUAUUGGGCUUAAAGCGUUCGUAGUCUGCCAAGCAAGUCCCCUGUGAAAUCCAACCGCUCAACGGUUGGGCUUGCAGAGGAUACUACAUGGCUAGAGGCCGGGAGAGGAGUGAGGUAUUCCAGGGGUACCGGUGAAAUGGUAUAAUCCUUGGAAGACCACCAGUGGCGAAGGCGUCACUCUGGAACGGGCCUGACGAUGAGGGACGAAAGCUAGGGGAGCGAACCGGAUUAGAUACCCGGGUAGUCCUAGCCGUAAACGAUGCUGACUGAGUAUUGCCGAAGCCUCGAGCUCCGGCAGUGCUGUAGGGAAACUGUCAAGUCAGCCGCCUGGGGAGUAUGGUCGCAAGACUGAAACUUAAAGGAAUUGGCGGGGAGCACCACAAGGGGUGAUGCUGCGGUUC
rnacentral:rRNA from 1 species